CCCCUCAGACAGACUAGGACCUGCCCUGAACAAGGUUCUCUACCCUCAGACAGACUAGGACCUGCCCUGAACAAGGUUCUCUACCCUCAGACAGAAUAGGACCUGCCCUGAACAAGGUUCUCUACCCUCAGACAGAACAGGACCUGCCCUGAACAAGGUUCUCUACCCUCAGACAGAACAGGACCUGCCCUGAACAAGGUUCUCUACCCUCAGACAGACUAGGACCUGCCCUGAACAAGGUUCUCUACCCUCAGACAGACUAGGACCUGCCCUGAACAAGGUUCUCUACCCUCAGACAGACUAGGACCUGCCCUGAACAAGGUUCUCUACCCUCAGUCCCCUCAGACAGACUAGGACCUGCCCUGAACAAGGUUCUCUACCCUCAGACAGACUAGGACCUGCCCUGAACAAGGUUCUCUACCUUCAGACAGAAUAGGACCUGCCCUGAACAAGGUUCUCUACCCUCAGACAGACUAGGACCUGCCCUGAACAAGGUUCUCUACCCUCAGACAGACUAGGACCUGCCCUGAACAAGGUUCUCUACCCUCAGACAGACUAGGACCUGCCCUGAACAAGGUUCUCUACCCUCAGACAGACUAGGACCUGCCCUGAACAAGGUUCUCUACCCUCAGACAGACUAGGACCUGCCCUGAACAAGGUUCUCUACCCUCAGACAGACUAGGACCUGCCCUGAACAAGGUUCUCUACCCUCAGACAGACUAGGACCUGCCCUGAACAAGGUUCUCUACCCUCAGACAGACUAGGACCUGCCCUGAACAAGGUUCUCUACCCUCAGUCCCCUCAGACAGACUAGGACCUGCCCUGAACAAGGUUCUCUACCCUCAGACAGACUAGGACCUGCCCUGAACAAGGUUCUCUACCCUCAGACAGACUAGGACCUGCCCUGAACAAGGUUCUCUACCUUCAGACAGAAUAGGACCUGCCCUGAACAAGGUUCUCUACCCUCAGACAGACUAGGACCUGCCCUGAACAAGGUUCUCUACCCUCAGACAGACUAGGACCUGCCCUGAACAAGGUUCUCUACCCUCAGACAGACUAGGACCUGCCCUGAACAAGGUUCUCUACCCUCAGACAGACUAGGACCUGCCCUGAACAAGGUUCUCUACCCUCAGACAGACUAGGACCUGCCCUGAACAAGGUUCUCUACCCUCAGACAGACUAGGACCUGCCCUGAACAAGGUUCUCUACCCUCAGACAGACUAGGACCUGCCCUGAACAAGGUUCUCUACCCUCAGACAGACUAGGACCUGCCCUGAACAAGGUUCUCUACCCUCAGACAGACUAGGACCUGCCCUGAACAAGGUUCUCUACCCUCAGACAGACUAGGACCUGCCCUGAACAAGGUUCUCUACCCUCAGACAGACUAGGACCUGCCCUGAACAAGGUUAUUUUUGUGACUGAGUGAUGUCAUCCACUCUGCCCUCAACAGCAGAACUCUGGACCAGACUGACCAGCGAAGUGUUGGUCGUUACGACAACGUCACUUCCAGAAGGAAUUAACGACUUUUAAUAGUGGAUCAAAAUGUAAAUAUUACGUUUUUAUUUUCAAGAAGGAAUAAUAUGUUGGGAUGUAAAUAAAUAAAUGAGUUUGAUGGUU